rfam:TPA: Bos taurus chromosome 21, whole genome shotgun sequence.
UCCCUGGUGGUCCAGUGGCUAAGACUCCAUGCUCCCAAUGUAGGGAGCCCAGGUUCAAUCCCUGGUCAGGGAA